GUGCUCACUUCGGCAGCACACAUAAAAUUGGAACGAUACAGAGAAGAUUAGCAUGGCCUUUGCUCAAGGAUGACACGUAAAUUUGUGAAGCUUUCCAUAAAAAA
rnacentral:snRNA from 1 species